AAUAUGUUGUGAAAGAAAAUGAAAGGCAAAGGAAUUAUUCCAAAUUAAAAGAGACUAAAAGAACACGGCAACCAAAGGCUGCGCUCACACUGAUAAUCCCAUUAGGUCACCCUGAUUGGUCCCUGAGUCUCACCUGCAAGCCACCUGAAGCAAUCAUUUUGAGAGUGAAUACGGGCAGUUCUCACACACUUGAAUGAUGCAUGAUGAGAAAUGAUGGGAGACUGGUUUGCUGUACCUUCUCACUCCACGUGUCCAGUUAUACCUACCACACAAGGAGCAGAAGAGGCUCUUAGGCACCUGACUAGCUUUCAGAGAAGAGGGUACAUCACUGAGGUGGCAGGAGAAACGCUGAAGUCAUUUCAGCCGUGGAAUGGACCAAAGAUGCUGGAUACAAAAUUUGACAGGUGCAACCACUCUCAUCUUUCCAGGCCCCAAAAUAAAGUCGACAGCUGGUUUAAUCAAAAUAUCUUCAUCUUCUCCAAGAAUCUUCAGAAAAUGUUAUGACUCAUUAAAACUAAAUUUUCAGAGGAAAAAUAGUGCCCAUUCUUUUUGCAAAUAAAAUACAUCAUCAAAAAUUCUUAAAUAA